rnacentral:rRNA from 1 species
UACGAAGGGUGCGAGCGUUGUUCGGAAUUAUUGGGCGUAAAGGGUUCGUAGGCGGGAAUUCAAGUUGGUUGUGAAAACCCCGGGCUUAACCUGGGACGUGCAAUCAAAACUGAGUUUCUUGAGUGCUGUAGAGGGGGGUGGAAUUGCUGGUGUAGGAGUGAAAUCCGUAGAGAUCAGCAGGAACAUCGGAGGCGAAGGCGACCCCCUGGCCAGUAACUGACGUUGAGGAACGAAAGCAUGGGUAGCAAACAGG